UACGUAGGGAGCAAGCGUUGUCCGGAAUCAUUGGGCGUAAAGAGCGCGUAGGCGGCCCUGUAAGUCCGUUCUGAAAGUCAAAGGCUCAACCUUUGAAAGCGGAUGGAUACUGCAGGGCUAGAGUCCGGAAGAGGCGAGUGGAAUUCCAGGUGUAGCGGUGAAAUGCGUAGAUAUCUGGAGGAACACCGGAGGCGAAGGCGGAUCACUGGACUGCCACUGACGCUGAGGCGCGAAAGCUAGGGGAGCAAACAGG
rnacentral:rRNA from 1 species